GCCACCAAUAGUUGCGAAACGGACCAAAUUUUCAGCACACUGACAUUUUUGAAGUUAUUGAAAUCAAGUUUUGACCAUACCAAUGUGAAGUACUCAUUGAGACGAGUCCAACCUAACAAAUCGUGUCAAAAUUAGAGUUCAAACGAAGUGUACAAGCUCGUCGAAGUUUGUUGAGCAAUGCCAUUAUUCCGCCAGAGAAGACGACUAGAGUUGGCCAACCUAAGAAAUUAUUGUGUGCAUUGCGGCAAGGUUACAUCCAGUAGGUUUCACACCAAGGCCAUGCAUGAACCACAAUCAAGUUCAAAUAAAUAACUUGCCGAAUACAAACACAAGGAUCUGUUGUGGCAAAGUGGUUAAGUUUUAUUCUUUCAUCCAAAGAGCACAAGUUCAAAUCUUGCCAGCAACAAGUUCAAGCCGAGCUGCCAAGUCGUCCAACGCAACAUAUGUCAGAGAAAUUAUCCAGUGCUUCGUGGAGCCCAAUUCUCCACCGAUCGGAUCCAUCGAAUCAAUUUUGGCUAAAAUUACGCCAUCAGGAGUCCGAUUCCAACGAUCCAAUAGUCUUCUGAACACAUUUGUACGGUCUGAUUUCUCAAAUUCCAUACAAAAAAUUUGCAAAUUUUAUAUGCAAGGCCACAUAUCGUAACUAAAACAACAUUUUUGCGCCGCGCCUGGAGUUUGCUCAAUGCCAAAUUCAACCACUACAACUUAUUGGCAACUUUCUGCUUAUAUCAUCGUCGUCACCAACGCCGCACCUGCCCCGAAACAUGGCACACCGAUCCUCGGGGCAAGGUAUCCGCCUCAACAAUUUGUUCUCAGCUUACUCCUCGGCAAGUCCACGUUGGACAAAAUACAAAACAACAAACACAAAAUAGCAACUUAACUAAUCUGCUUCCAAUAUUGGUGUCCGUUUUUUUGCUUCCCACUUAUUGUGAUCACCAAGUUUACAAAUCCAUGACACAGUAUGCACUAUUCCAUAUCCUUGCAAUGUCUGACAUUGAGACAAAAGGCUCCAAAUUCGAAGCACGAAAACCUCCGAAUUCGGAGCAAAACCCUAGUUUUCUAUUCAUAUAUACAUAUAUACAUACAUUCAUGCAUACAUGCAUUCAUAUAGUCAUUCAUGCAUUCAUUUUAUUCAUUUAUCAAAUACAUUCUUUAUUGAGAGACCUAACGUUUAUUUGAAUAGUAUAACUCGGCAAUAAAAACUCUCAUCAUUCCUUCUAUUGCAGAAAAUGAAAGUUUUGGGGCAAUUGUGGUGGCCCAAAAAAUAUUACCUUACUAACAAUGGGCCCAACCCAAACAAGGGAGCCCAUCAAGUAAAUAUCACACCCCUAUUUAUAAAAAGAAGGCAUCCCAUGGAAUGAAGGUAUGACUCAUAUCUCUACAUCACACAGCACACACACUCUCUUGAGUUCUUCAUCUUCUCUAUUUGUUUCAAGUCGCUAACUUUAUCAUUAGAGUGUCUUCCGUCGGCAACCCCAGUUGGGUGGCGUCGACAAUGUUCAUCCUUGCAAAUCUAUAGGGGUCAAGCUCUUCUUUGCGUUGGAUCUCUUCAACAAUCCAUGUGAGAGGAUUUUCUGGGUCUCACACUAGGUAUGUGGGCAAACUUUUGCAACGAUGUGUUAAUUGGUAAAUUAUAAAUGUUGAUGCUUAGAAAUUGAAAAACUAUCCAAUGAAUAUAUGGCAUGUCAUAUUUUAAAUUUAGAAAGAAGUACACAAAUAAAAAAAAUUUGAUUGAAGGAAACAGAAUAGGCAUAACUUUAGAUUUUCCUUUUUUGUCUUUUGAUUGGCUUUUUUAAAUUUAACCACUUUGAGCUUUUUGUUAUUGUGAAAUAUAUAAAUUAGAUAUAAGGGGAAGGAAACACUUGGGGAGUGUCUUGUGUAGAGAGAAUGUCCACUUUCUCUUAGAAAUUAGGAUUGGAAGUUUGAAAGUCAUUGAUAACCUAAUGCAUUACUACACUACAUAAAUAAUAUUGUGGAUGUGUAUGCUAUUUAUAUAUAUAUUUUCUUUUGGGUAAAGACAUAAGCUAUUUAUAUGUUUGCUCUUGUGCAUGUAUUUCUCUCUCUUGACUUUGUUCUCCAUCACUCUUCUUUAUCCUCUUUCCAUCCUCUUUGUUCCUAAUGAAUCAAAUGAUCAAAAGUUGGUUAAUAAAGCCCCUGCACACCUAGUUAUAGACAACCAACUCAUCUACUAACACAAACACAUGACAACCACUUACAUCAACACUCAUGCCCUUGAAAGUGAUUUUUCCAACAGAAGCAAACGCAACAAAAACUAGUCAAACACAUAAGGAGCCAAGUGUUAGACAUUGAAGGCAUCAGAGAUGUUCAGGUGAGGGGGCAAACACACUUGAUAGGCAUUGUCAUUUCUUGCUCAAAAUCUCACAAUGACCCACUUUCCGAUCCGUCAACUUCAUAUAAGAACCGCGGGGCUUCCUGUCCUUUGUCAAAACUACCGAAACAAGAUCACCCACUUUGAAGACAACCUUUCACUGGUGUAAGACAGUUGCGACUUUGUACUUAGCAUUGGAUUGUUUGAUUUGGGCCCUCACUUGAGCAUGCACUUGUAGCAUAAACGCAGUCAUAUCCUCUGCUUUGACAUUGACCCUCUUGAGAUAGGCAAAUGAGCUAGAUCCACCACACUAAAACGUUUGGCACUUAGUUGCAUGAAGCGGGAGCGUGGCCACUUAGAAGAGUCGUAGGGCAAGAGCUCGCAAAAGAGGAGAUCGAAAGACAAAUCGAGAUUGCCUUGCUCUCUCAUCAGAGGCGCAAUUCUUCUCUAAUUCUUCCUUAGAAGAGCAAAAUUGCGCUUCUUCCUCAGAUUCGUGAUGAGCUUCGACGAUUCCUGUUACUAAGCACCACAAAUCACUUCAAAAGGAGACAUGUUAUAGAAGAAUUAUAAGCAAAUUCAGCCAAAGUCCCAACCCUUAGGGUGAUCUCCAAUAAGAAAUCUCAUUAAGUUCCCAAUAAUCCAGUUGACCACUUGCGUUUGGCCAUCAGUUUGUGGAUAGAAGUUAGUGCUAAAGUGCAAAUUGGUACCAAUCUUCUUACAUAAAGUCCUCCAAAAAUGACCAAGGAAUUUGGUAUCACUAUCCGACACAAUAGAAAUAGAAACCCCAUGAAGAUUGUAGACUUCCUUGAAGAAGAGAUUAGCCACAUUAGUAGCAUCCAUAGUCUUCCGAUAAGGGAUAAGAUGUGCCAUCUUAGAGAAGCGAUCAACUAUAAUAGAAUCACGCUUGUGUAGGUGUCAAUCGUAACACAAAGUUCAUGUAGUCCAUGCUAAUGCAUUGCCAAGGACCAUUAGGCACCGGAAAAGGCAAGUACAAACCCUCAUUGGUAGUUGUCCCCUCACUCCUUUGACAAAAGAAUUGAAACAACAAAAUUGAGAAUCUUGAAAAAGAAGAGAAGUUGAAGGAAAGUACUCAAUAAUGUAGGAGACAAAAUAGGUCUAGGGUAUGGUGAAAAAAAGCAAGUUGUCAAACCACAAGUACAUAAUACCAUAGAAGAUACUUGUAGGAGGAAUACUCAACCUAAAAAAGUAAGACAACCUAAUCUCUCACAACCCAAGUUACAUCCACAUAGGUCCUUGUUUGUUCCUAUCUGUUUUAUUCUUUCAGAUGUUGUAUGAGAGGCCAUGUAGUUCAAGAGUGCACUAAGAGGAGGAAACACAAUAGUAGUACUGCAUAUUACAGAGAUGAGCUUAGAGUUCAGAGGCAGUGAAGUUGCUACAGUCCAAAAGUGAUAGGAAGAAUUCAUGAUUUAGUAGAACAAUAGAAUGUCCAAGGUCAGAAGUCAGUCCUUUCUACUUCAAUCCAUAAACUGGGGGAGGUGUACUCUUUGCCUAAGUUAUUAGGUAUGAUCUUAGCCGUUUAAGGAUCCUUGUGUAUCGUGUCUAUUCUUUUUGUCCCUAUGACCCGCUGCAAAUUGUUUUGCUGAAAAUUAUUUUGAAAAAUAUAAAAAAAUUUACUGAAAAUUAAUGUCAUUUAUUUUGAUAUUGCAAUGUGGCCUAACAAUUAGAUAGAUCUUAUAAUUUGCAAUAAUUUGUUUGUUAAAAGAGUGGCCCCGUGGUCAGGCCCACAUUUUCCAACUCUUGACGUGGUUCAACCUCUGCCUCCUCUACUCUCCUUUCCUUUCCCUCACUCUAUAUAUAGAUCACCUAUAUAAAUUAGAUUAGCCUAGAGUAGGUUUGCUAA